UGGUUAAUUAUUAGACAAAGACAACAACAAAAAUAAACAAGGACAGCAAAACCAAAUAAAAUACCUUUAAAAGAUUUAAAUCAAAUAUAACGAUAACGAUUCGAAAUUUCGUGAUCCAGAUAAAUAUCAUCGAUAUUUACUCACAAAAUUUUCCAGAUAAUGCAAAUCUUUUUCGUUUACAACCUAAAGAAGCCAACCGUUUGAUGUCGACAACACAUUUUCAAUAUUCAAGAAAUAGUAUUCAAACUAGCUUUAUUAUAUCCUAAUGCUGAAUUUCUAGUUGAAACGCUAACAAGAUAGAGAAUUUAGUAAACAGUUUUCAAAAACAGACUGAUUUAUCAUUACAACAAAUAAAAUGUACCCUUUGUUGUAUCGAAGAUAUGUUUGGAUAGGAUGCUCAAAAAUGGAAUGUUGUAAAGGGAUGAAUAAUACUCUUACUGAUUUAUACAGACAAGAUACGUACAUUUUCUUAUAAUACUUAAAAACGUGUCUAGAAUACACUAACAAAACUUAUAUAUUUUAGGUAUAAGUUAGUAGAAGAUACAGAGGUGACUUUAACAAAUUUACAGCAAGGAUUGGACAAGAUUUGAGGCCGAAUUCAAAAAGUUCUGUAGCUAGUCCUGGUACUAGGAUAUAACAAGUUGUUGUUAACUUGGUUUACGGAAGAAAAUUAACUUAAUAGUGAAUGAGUCAAAGAUAAGCUAAACCAGGUAGAGUAUUGGAAGAAUUUUUGUUGACAUUUGUAUAAGUUAAAAGAAAUAAAACCGUGGUUCUGCAGAGAUAGUGGCUCAAUGUUUUGAUAUAUUCGAUAUUUGAAUGACCGCAGGGAAGCUGUCAGGACUUCCAAUCCAUCGCUCACAUUUGCUGAUAUUACUAAGAUCUUAGUCAGCGAGUGGAGUAAUUUACCUUCUGAUAAGAAGCAGCAAUACUUGGAUGCAGCUGAAUAAGAUAGAGAGAGGUAUACAAAAGAAUACGAAGCAUAUAAACAGACUGAGGCAAACAAACAAUUUACCCAACUCCAGAAUGAGAAGAAACUCAAAGAUAACAAAGAAAAAGAAAAAGAAGAUGUUAAAACUAUAGUUUCAAAUGUAAAUUCAUCUCAACACCCUGUAACUAAAGACAUCCAGGAAAUGGACUUUGGCAACUUUGAUAUUCUCAUUUUUACUGAAGAAUUCCUUAACCACAAUAAAACAAGAGAUGCAUAAUUAAGAUUGUUCUUUGCCACUCUGACUAAACACAUUGAAAACAUGAAAACGGCCAUAACUAAGCUGGAAACAGAGAUUUCACAAAAGGAAAAGAAUAAUGUUUCUUUGCAACAUCAUCUGGAGCAUCUUAGGGCUACUCUGGCCACAGAAAGAAAAUAAUUACUUUAUAGACAUUUUUUUGUUAUGUAGGAAUCAGAGAAACUGCUUCCUUGCAAAAUAUUGUUACG
rnacentral:lncRNA from 1 species